CCUACGGGAGGCAGCAGUGAGGAAUAUUGGUCAAUGGACGAGAGUCUGAACCAGCCAAGUAGCGUGAAGGAUGACUGUCCUAUGGGUUGUAAACUUCUUUUAUAUGGGAAUAAAAUGUUCCACGUGUGGGAUUUUGUAUGUACCUUAUGAAUAAGGAUCGGCUAACUCCGUGCCAGCAGCCGCGGUAAUACGGAGGAUCCGAGCGUUAUCCGGAUUUAUUGGGUUUAAAGGGAGCGUAGGUGGAUUGUUAAGUCAGUUGUGAAAGUUUGCGGCUCAACCGUAAAAUUGCAGUUGAUACUGGCAGUCUUGAGUACAGUAGAGGUGGGCGGAAUUCGUGGUGUAGCGGUGAAAUGCUUAGAUAUCACGAAGAACUCCGAUUGCGAAGGCAGUUCACUGGACUGCAACUGACACUGAGGCUCGAAAGUGUGGGUAUCAAACAGGAUUAGAUACCCGGGUAGUC
rnacentral:rRNA from 1 species